rnacentral:ribozyme from 1 species
CCCCAACAACGUGCAGGCACCUCUCCGUGGUGCUGGGGACCAGUACUCGAGUAUUCAAGAGUUUUCGAAGAAGCAAAGACCUGC